CUGAGUCACACUGUCUUGUCAUGUGUGGUCAGGUGACCUGCAGCUUCCACCAGCAGGAAGAGAUGCUGGGAGAGGAUUUCCUCUUCACUCGCAGUCAUCGUCAUCUGAAGGGAAGCCUGCAAGUUCGUUCUGUUUCUAGUAAGAUUUGUCUUUGCUUAUGUCCUGGCUUCUUCCUCGCCCUGCAGACUUGGGCCAGUGCUGUUCACUGCACAGUUAUUCUUUCCUCGACGUGCCGUGCAGAGAAGGCUGGUGUUUUGGGUAGUCUUGAACAAUGGGGACUUCCUCUUCUCUAGAGAGAGCUCUUUGACUAUAGGCAGGAAAUGCUGCACGGGAGCCUGGUUAGCAGGGGUGCUGUGGGCCCCGGGCUGCAGGGCCUGCUAUGCAUGCAGCAGCAUCUCGUGACGGGUCAUCUCCUGGUGCGUCCUGUGAUGAAGCAGGUGCGCCACAAGCCAGAGAGGAGCACCAGAGGGGAAAAUAACACCCUGUCCAUCUGACUGCAGAAGGCAUGCCCCUCACAUCUCCGUGCCUCUGCAAUCGAGACACAGCGAGAGUGUCUCAGAUGUAACGAAUACCAUAAAUCUGUGUAAAGCAAGUCCUGGGGGAAGAAGAAGUAUGGGGUCUCCCUUGGAAAGGACAACAAAUAUGCCACAGAAUGGCACCCAGCACCCCUGAGGUGAGCCCAGCAGGCUGUGGACGGUGCUGAAUUUCCAGUUACUUCUUAAGGCCUAAAGAAGAUGGCUCAGCAUGCUCCUGGCCUCUAAUGCAUUUGGAGUGGGGCAAAACACACACCUUCUCAGUGAGAGGGACUCAAGAGGUCCCAGAGGUGCAAUCCUAAAAUGGACAGGCUGCUCUUGGAGAAAAGGCGCCCUCCAGGCCUGGAAGACUCUAGCAGAGGCUGGUGGGCUCGAUAGAGACACACAGUCUAGAAGGGCGUCCUCGCCGGGCCCGCCUGGCCCUGGGGCCACCAGGGCGUGUUCUGCAGUUCUGGGAAGCGGAUCUGCUGACUGGGUCCUGAGCUGAGAACCGUGACUUCAUUCCAGGCCUUCGAUUUUAUGAAUAAGAGCUGGCCUCGAACUGCUGUGAUGUCAGAGGAGUCACCUGUGCAUCCUGAGGCUAGUGGGUCCUCUACAGAGUGAAGGCUGAGAAUAGAUAGACCCUAAUAUUAACACCAGCUCUAAGCCCUUUGAUGAUGUGAACAAGUCUCAGCGAGUGUCCGUGAAUUGUUGAAGGAGAGUAUCAGAAAGACAACACGGUCUGGACGUGGCAGUGAUGGCAAAGUGUCCCCAAAGAAGCUGAAAUCCAUAUAAGGUGGCCUUCUGACAGGUGCGUAGCGAGUCUUAGUUACAUUGAGGGCAGAACGUCUCCCAGAGCAGCGAGCGUGGACUGUAACCUGACUGAACACAUUCAGGAACCUGGAGAGAGGACGCCAGAGCCCGUGGGUGGCCGUGGGAGGACAGGGGAAGGAAGGCUUAGAGAAGCAGCCGCAGACGCUCACGGCAGGGCCGUGCAGGCAGAGGCAUGUGGCCGAGGCCCCCACACUCCCUGCACGGAGAGGCUCCCAGCAGCCCAGUCCUCUGCCCUGGGGGUCCUCAGCCAGGUGGCCUGGCCCCAGGGGACAAGUGGCCAUGUCUGGGUUGCCACAACUAGAUGUGUGGUGGGUGGAGGCCAGGCCACUGCUGAGCCCUACGGUGCCCGGGAUGACACAGCCCCUGUGCACCAGAGUCCGGGGAGACCCGCCCCAGGUCCCUGCCGCCUAUGUGCCCUCAUCUGGGCUGGCUGUGUCACUGGGCGCCUCCAGUAAGAAUGUGUGGCUCUAUGUCUAAUGCAGAAAUCAGCUGGCCUGCUGGCAUUAGCUCCACUCCUCUGAGGGAAGGAGAGAACUGGGAUUCGCUGCACACCAGGGUAACGCAUCCCCGCCUGGGCGCACUUGCA
rnacentral:lncRNA from 10 species